rnacentral:rRNA from 1 species
GACGUAGGGCGCGAGCGUUGUCCGGAUUUAUUGGGCGUAAAGAGCUCGUAGGCGGCUUGUCGCGUCGAAUGUGAAAUCUCAGGGCUCAACUCUGACAUUGCAUUCGAUACGGGCAGGCUCGAGUUCGGUAGGGGAGACUGGAAUUCCUGGUGUAGCGGUGAAAUGCGCAGAUAUCAGGAGGAACACCGGUGGCGAAGGCGGGUCUCUGG